rnacentral:rRNA from 1 species
AGAGGUCUCGAGCGUUAGUCGGAAUCACUGGGCUUAAAGCGUACGUAGGCGGAUAUGCAGGCGUCGUGUGAAAUCCCCCGGCUCAACCGAGGAACUGCACGGCGAACCGCAUGUCUUGAGACAAGUAGGGGCGGUCGGAACGAUAGGUGGAGUGGUGAAAUGCGUUGAUAUCUAUCGGAACGCCGAAGGUGAAGACAGGCCGCUGGGCUUGUUCUGACGCUGAGGUACGAAAGCGUGGGUAGCGAACGGGAUUAGAUACCCCGGUAGUCCACGCCCUAAACUAUGUGCACUAGAUCGAGGAGGUUUUGACACCAUUCUCGGUCGAAGUAAAAACGUUGAGUGCACCGCCUGGGGAGUACGGUCGCAAGGCUA